ensembl:piRNA 21ur-4326 ncRNA
UAGUAAAUGUCAUAUCUUGUG